rnacentral:rRNA from 1 species
UACGUAGGGGGCAAGCGUUGUCCGGAAUCAUUGGGCGUAAAGCGCGUGUAGGCGGCCCGGUAAGUCCGCUGUGAAAGUCCAGGGCUCAACCCUGGAAUGCCGGUGGAUACUGUCGGGCUCGAGUCCGGAAGAGGCGAGUGGAAUUCCUGGUGUAGCGGUGAAAUGCGCAGAUAUCGGGAGGAACACCAAUGGCGAAGGCAGCUCGCUGGGACGUGACUGACGCUGAGACGCGAAAGCGUGGGAGCAAACAG